GGUCCGGCUGGGCGCCGGGCGGGAGCCGAGGCCGCUGCGGACCCCGCAAUCCCGCAGCCGGCGACUGGAGCCCACCUCUGCAGAGACAAAGAUGCCCAAGGCUUCAGCAGGCGCCAGGAAGCAGAGGACACAGCUGGGAUGUGAAAUAGCAAUACCUGCAUUGAUGAAUAAAACGGUGAGGCCAUCAUUUUCCUGAAGAACAGCAGAGGACGUACCAACCGACAUCAGAGACAGGCACAGCGAGGAGGGUUAAAAGGAGUGUGCAAACGCAGCGAAGGCAUACAAAUAAAUAUGGCACCUACUCAAAAACCGGAAUCGCAGUGCAGCCCCGCCGCGGAGACAGACCGAUUUCAGGCGAACACAAGCGCGGUUCAAAACGAAAGCAAGUUGAGAAAGGAGAGGCGCUCCACGCAGCAGCUCGCCCAAGUGAGAAGUUAAGGAGCGAAAAUGUCACAAUUGGUUUUUCAAGUAUUCCUUCACUUUCGGUUAGUUAUUUGCCGUAA